rnacentral:rRNA from 1 species
AUAUCAAUAAGCGGAGGAAAAGAAACCAACAGGGAUUGCCUUAGUAACGGCGAGUGAAGCGGCAAUAGCUCAAAUUUGAAAUCUGGCUUUUGUAAAUAAAAGUCCGAGUUGUAAUUUGCAGAGGAUGCUUUUGGCAAGGCACUGUCUAAGUUCCCUGGAAUGGGACGCCACAGAGGGUAAGAGCCCCGUCUAGUUAGAUGCCGAAGCCUUUUUAAAGCUCCUUCAACGAGUCGAGUAGUUUGGGAAUGCUGCUCAAAGUAGGAGGUAUAUGUCUUCUAAAGCUAAAUAUUAGCUAGAGACCGAUAGCGCACAAGUAGAGUGAUCGAAAGAUGAAAAGCACUUUGAAAAGAGGGUUAAACAGUACGUGAAAUUGCUAAAAGGGAAGCACUUGCAACUAGACAUAGAUAUUUUCAAUCAAUUAGUGAUUUUCACUAAUGUGCUUGGAAUUAUCUAGGCUAGCAUCGGUUUACUGUAGAGAAAAAAGAUAUCUAGAACGUGGCCCUCUUCGGAGGGUGUUAUAGCUAGAUGUGUAAUGCUUUACUUAGUAGACCGAGGUGUUAUUGCGCAUUCUUGCAAGGAUGCUGGCGUAAUAGUUGCUAGUGACCCGUCUUGAAACACGGACCAAGGAGUCGUCUUCGUAUGCGAGUGUUUGGGUAUAAAACCCUUGCGCGAAAUGAAAGUAAACGUAGGUAAGAACCUCUUUAAAAAAGAGGCACAUUACCGACCGAUCUUGAUGUUCUCGGAUGGAUUUGAGUAAGAGCAUACGGGGCCGGACCCGAAAGAAGGUGAACUAUGCCUGCGUAGGGUGAAGCCAGAGGAAACUCUGGUGGAGGCUCGCAGCGGUUCUGACGUGCAAAUCGAUCGUCAAACGUGGGCAUGGGGGCGAAAGACUAAUCGAACCUUCUAGUAGCUGGUUUCCGCC